UUUGUUCCGCGUCUGUCGUGAAAGCCCACGGCUUAACUGUGGGUCUGCGGUGGAUACGGGCAGACUAGAGGCAGGUAGGGGAGAAUGGAAUUCCCGGUGUAGCGGUGAAAUGCGCAGAUAUCGGGAGGAACACCGGUGGCGAAGGCGGUUCUCUGGGCCUGUACUGACGCUGAGGAGCGAAAGCGUGGGGAGCGAACAGGAUUAGAUACCCUGGUAGUCCACGCCGUAAACGUUGGGCGCUAGGUGUGGGGUUCUUCCACGGAUUCCGCGCCGUAGCUAACCCAUUAAGCGCCCGCACUGGGGAGUCCGCCCGCAAGGUUAAAACUCAAAGGAAUUGCCGGGGGCCCGCACAAGCGGCGGAGCAUGUUGCUUAAUUCGACGCAACGCGAAGAACCUUACCAAGGCUUGACAUCGCCGGAAAACUCGCAGAGAUGCGGGGUCCUUUUUGGGCCGGUGACAGGUGGUGCAUGGCUGUCGUCAGCUCGUGUCGUGAGAUGUUGGGUUAAGUCCCGCAACGAGCGCAACCCUCGUUCCAUGUUGCCAGCACGUAAUGGUGGGGACUCAUGGGAGACCGCCGGGGUCAACUCGGAGGAAGGUGGGGAUGACGUCAAGUCAUCAUGCCCCUUAUGUCUUGGGCUGCAAACAUGCUACAAUGGCCGGUACAGAGGGCUGCGAUACCGUGAGGUGGAGCGAAUCCCUUAAAGCCGGUCUCAGUUCGGAUUGGGGUCUGCAACUCGACCCCAUGAAGUCGGAGUCGCUAGUAAUCGCAGAUCAGCAACGCUGCGGUGAAUACGUUCCCGGGCCUUGUACACACCGCCCGUCACGUCACGAAAGUCGGCAACACCCGAAGCCCGUGGCCCAACCCUUGUGGGGGGAGCGGU
rnacentral:rRNA from 1 species